GACGAACGCUGGCGGCGUGCUUAACACAUGCAAGUCGAACGGAAAGGCCCUGCUUUUGUGGGGUGCUCGAGUGGCGAACGGGUGAGUAACACGUGAGUAACCUGCCCUUGGCUUUGGGAUAACUUCAGGAAACUGGGGCUAAUACCGGAUAGGAGCUCCUGCUGCAUGGUGGGGGUUGGAAAGUUUCGGCGGUUGGGGAUGGACUCGCGGCUUAUCAGCUUGUUGGUGGGGUAGUGGCUUACCAAGGCUUUGACGGGUAGCCGGCCUGAGAGGGUGACCGGCCACAUUGGGACUGAGAUACGGCCCAGACUCCUACGGGAGGCAGCAGUGGGGAAUAUUGCACAAUGGGCGGAAGCCUGAUGCAGCAACGCCGCGUGCGGGAUGACGGCCUUCGGGUUGUAAACCGCUUUCGCCUGUGACGAAGCGUGAGUGACGGUAAUGGGUAAAGAAGCACCGGCUAACUACGUGCCAGCAGCCGCGGUGAUACGUAGGGUGCGAGCGUUGUCCGGAUUUAUUGGGCGUAAAGGGCUCGUAGGUGGUUGAUCGCGUCGGAAGUGUAAUCUUGGGGCUUAACCCUGAGCGUGCUUUCGAUACGGGUUGACUUGAGGAAGGUAGGGGAGAAUGGAAUUCCUGGUGGAGCGGUGGAAUGCGCAGAUAUCAGGAGGAACACCAGUGGCGAAGGCGGUUCUCUGGGCCUUUCCUGACGCUGAGGAGCGAAAGCGUGGGGAGCGAACAGGCUUAGAUGCCCUGGUAGUCCACGCUGUAAACGGUGGGUACUAGGUGUGGGGUCCAUUCCACGGGUUCCGUGCCGUAGCUAACGCUUUAAGUACCCCGCCUGGGGAGUACGGCCGCAAGGCUAAAGCUCAAAGGAAUUGGCGGGGCCCCGCACAAGCGGCGAAGCAUGCGGAUUAAUUCGAUGCAACGCGUAGAACCUUACCUGGGUUUGACAUGGAUCGGGAGCGCUCAGAGAUGGGUGUGCCUCUUUUGGGGUCGGUUCACAGGUGGUGCAUGGCUGUCGUCAGCUCGUGUCGUGAGAUGUUGGGUUAAGUCCCGCAACGAGCGCAACCCUUGUUCACUGUUGCCAGCACGUUAUGGUGGGGACUCAGUGGAGACCGCCGGGGUCAACUCGGAGGAAGGUGGGGAUGACGUCAAGUCAUCAUGCCCCUUAUGUCCAGGGCUUCACGCAUGCUACAAUGGCUGGUACAGAGAGUGGCGAGCCUGUGAGGGUGAGCGAAUCUCGGAAAGCCGGUCUCAGUUCGGAUUGGGGUCUGCAACUCGACCUCAUGAAGUCGGAGUCGCUAGUAAUCGCAGAUCAGCAACGCUGCGGUGAAUACGUUCCCGGG
rnacentral:rRNA from 1 species